AGUACGGAGGGUGCGAGCGUUAUUCGGAUUUAUUGGGCGUAAAGAGCGUGUAGGCGGUUGGUUAAGUCAGAUGUGAAAGCCCGGGGCUCAACCUCGGAAGUGCAUUUGAUACUGGUCAACUUGAGUUCGGGAGAGGGAAGUGGAAUUCCGGGUGUAGAGGUGAAAUUCGUAGAUAUCCGGAGGAACACCGGUGGCGAAGGCGACUUCCUGGACCGAAACUGACGCUGAGACGCGAAAGCGUGGGGAGC
rnacentral:rRNA from 1 species